AAAGUAGACCAGACAGCCGCCGCCUUCGUUAGAAGGGGGAGGAAAGUCCGGACUCCAAAGGGCAGGGUGAUGGCUAACGGCCAUCCGUGGCGACACGCGGAAUAGGGCAACAGAAAGCAAACCGCCGAUGGCCUCAAGCGUUAAGUUUGAUGGCUCAGGUAAGGGUGAAACGGUGCGGUAAGAGCGCACCGCGGCUGCAGUGACGCAGCUGGCACGGUAACCUCCACCCGGAGCAAUUCCAAAUAGGCGAGCAUGCAUCUAUAGGAUGCAAGCAGGCCCCUUGCUAGUUCGCGGGUAGGAAGCUUGAGCGCGUCAGUAAUGACGCGCCUAGAGGAAUGGCUGUCACGCGCAACUCUGGUUGCGUGCACAGAAUCCGGCUUAUCGGUCUGCUUUGCCU
rnacentral:RNase_P_RNA from 1 species